CCUACGGGUGGCAGCAGUGAGGAAUAUUGGUCAAUGGCCGAGAGGCUGAACCAGCCAAGUCGCGUGAGGGAAGACGGCCCUACGGGUUGUAAACCUCUUUUUUCGGGGAGCAAAGCGAGUCACGUGUGACUCAUUGCGAUUACCCGAAGAAAAAGCAUCGGCUAACUCCGUGCCAGCAGCGCCGGUAAUACGGAGGAUGCGAGGGGUAGCCGGAUUUAUUGGGUUUAAGGGGUGCGCAGGGGGAGGUGCAAGUCAGCGGUAAAAUUGCGGGGCUCAACCCCGUACUGCCGUUGAAACUGCAUGCCUUGAGUGCGCGAGAAGGAUGCGGAAUGCGUGGUGUAGCGGUGAAAUGCAUAGAUAUAACGCAGAACUCCGAUUGCGAAGGCAGCAUACCGGCGCGCAACUGACGCUCAUGCACGAAAGCGUGGGUAUCGAACAGGAUUAGAUACCCUAGUAGUC
rnacentral:rRNA from 1 species